UACGGGGGGGGCAAGCGUUGUUCGGAAUUACUGGGCGUAAAGGGAGCGUAGGUGGCAUUCUAAGUCUGAUGUGAAAGCUCUGAGCUUAACUCAGAAAUGGCAUUAGAUACUAGUUUGCUUGAGGAUUGGAGGGGAGAUUGGAAUACUUGGUGUAGCAGUGAAAUGCGUAGAUAUCAAGUGGAACACCAGUGGCGAAGGCGAAUCUCUGGACAAUUCCUGACACUGAUGCUCGAAAGCUAGGGGAGCAAACGGG
rnacentral:rRNA from 1 species